rnacentral:rRNA from 1 species
GACGAACUUUGGCGGCGUGCUUAACACAUGCAAGUCGAACGGAAAGGCCCUGCUUUUGUGGGGUGCUCGAGUGGCGAACGGGUGAGUAACACGUGAGUAACCUGCCCUUGACUUUGGGAUAACUUCAGGAAACUGGGGCUAAUACCGGAUAGGAGCUCCUGCUGCAUGGUGGGGGUUGGAAAGUUUCGGCGGUUGGGGAUGGACUCGCGGCUUAUCAGCUUGUUGGUGGGGUAGUGGCUUACCAAGGCUUUGACGGGUAGCCGGCCUGAGAGGGUGACCGGCCACAUUGGGACUGAGAUACGGCCCAGACUCCUACGGGAGGCAGCAGUGGGGAAUAUUGCACAAUGGGCGGAAGCCUGAUGCAGCAACGCCGCGUGCGGGAUGACGGCCUUCGGGUUGUAAACCGCUUUCGCCUGUGACGAAGCGUGAGUGACGGUAAUGGGUAAAGAAGCACCGGCUAACUACGUGCCAGCAGCCGCGGUGAUACGUAGGGUGCGAGCGUUGUCCGGAUUUAUUGGGCGUAAAGGGCUCGUAGGUGGUUGAUCGCGUCGGAAGUGUAAUCUUGGGGCUUAACCCUGAGCGUGCUUUCGAUACGGGUUGACUUGAGGAAGGUAGGGGAGAAUGGAAUUCCUGGUGGAGCGGUGGAAUGCGCAGAUAUCAGGAGGAACACCAGUGGCGAAGGCGGUUCUCUGGGCCUUUCCUGACGCUGAGGAGCGAAAGCGUGGGGAGCGAACAGGCUUAGAUACCCUGGUAGUCCACGCUGUAAACGGUGGGUACUAGGUGUGGGGUCCAUUCCACGGGUUCCGUGCCGUAGCUAACGCUUUAAGUACCCCGCCUGGGGAGUACGGCCGCAAGGCUAAAACUCAAAGGAAUUGACGGGGCCCCGCACAAGCGGCGGAGCAUGCGGAUUAAUUCGAUGCAACGCGUAGAACCUUACCUGGGUUUGACAUGGAUCGGGAGUGCUCAGAGAUGGGUGUGCCUCUUUUGGGGUCGGUUCACAGGUGGUGCAUGGCUGUCGUCAGCUCGUGUCGUGAGAUGUUGGGUUAAGUCCCGCAACGAGCGCAACCCUUGUUCACUGUUGCCAGCACGUUAUGGUGGGGACUCAGUGGAGACCGCCGGGGUCAACUCGGAGGAAGGUGGGGAUGACGUCAAGUCAUCAUGCCCCUUAUGUCCAGGGCUUCACGCAUGCUACAAUGGCUGGUACAGAGAGUGGCGAGCCUGUGAGGGUGAGCGAAUCUCGGAAAGCCGGUCUCAGUUCGGAUUGGGGUCUGCAACUCGACCUCAUGAAGUCGGAGUCGCUAGUAAUCGCAAAUCAGCAACGCUGCGGUGAAUACGUUCCCGGGGCU